rnacentral:rRNA from 1 species
AAAGUGCCGCAGUGCCUAAACAUGCAGUCGACGAGAAUCCGCCUUCGGGUGGAGAGUAAAGUGGCGCACGGGUGAGUAACACGUGGAUAAUCUGCCUCUGAGUGAGGAAUAACUCGUCGAAAGGCGGGCUAAUACCUCAUAGCACUGUUUUCUCUGCGGAGGGGACAGCCAAAGGUGGCCUCUGAUGCAAGCUAUCGCUUAGAGAUGAGUCCGCGGCCCAUUAGCUAGUUGGCAGGGUAAAGGCCUACCAAGGCAACGAUGGGUAGCUGGUCUGAGAGGAUGAUCAGCCACACUGGAACUGAGAUACGGUCCAGACUCCUACGGGAGGCAGCAGUGAGGAAUAUUGCGCAAUGGGGGAAACCCUGACGCAGCAACGCCGUGUGAGUGAUGAAGGCUCUCGGGUCGUAAAGCUCUGUUUGGUGGAAAGAAAGGCUCCUGACGAAUACUCAGGCAGCUUGACGGUACCAUCAGAGGAAGCACCGGCUAACUCCGUGCCAGCAGCCGCGGUAAUACGGAGGGUGCAAGCGUUGUUCGGAAUUACUGGGCGUAAAGGGCGUGUAGGCGGCUGAUUAAGUCAGAUGUGAAAGCCCUGGGCUCAACCCAGGAAGUGCAUUUGAAACUGGUCAGCUAGAGUACGGGAGAGGAAGGUGGAAUUCCUGGUGUAGAGGUGAAAUUCAUAGAUAUCGGGAAGAACACCGGUGGCGAAGGCGGCCUUCUGGCCCGAUACUGACGCUGAGACGCGAAAGCGUGGGGAGCAAACAGGAUUAGAUACCCUGGUAGUCCACGCUGUAAACGUUGGGCACUAGGUGUGGGAGGUAUUUACUCCUUUCUGUGCCGCAGCUAACGCAUUAAGUGCCCCGCCUGGGGAGUACGGUCGCAUAGGCUA